CAAUAGCGUAUAUUAAAGUUGUUGCAGUUAAAAAGCUCGUAGUUGGAUUUGUGGCGUACGGUGUGUUCCGGGCACUUGUUGUCUGAGUAACCUGCUGUUGCCAUCCUUGGGUGGAACCUGUGUGGCAUUAGGUUGUCGUGCAGGGGAUGCUCAUCAUUUACUGUGAGAAAAUUAGAGUGUUCAAAGCAGGCUUAUGCCGUUGAAUAUAUUAGCAUGGAAUAAUGAGAUAGGACUUUUUUGCUAUUUUGUUGGUUUGCGCAAAGAGGUAAUGAUCAAUAGGGACAGUUGGGGGUAUUCGUAUUCCAUUGUCAGAGGUGAAAUUCUUGGAUUUUUGGAAGACGAACUACUGCGAAAGCAUUUACCAAGGAUGUUUUCAUUAA
rnacentral:rRNA from 1 species